rnacentral:tRNA from 1 species
GCGAGCGAUGGAACUCGGUUCGUUCAGCCUUCCAAGCUGAAUGUUGUGGGUUCGACUCCCAUCGCCCGCU